GCCGGGUGUGGUGGUGCACGCCUGUAGUCCCAGCUACCUAGGAGGCUGAGGUGGAAGGAUUGCUCGAACCCAGGGGGUUGAGGCUGCAGUGAGCCAUGAUCAUAUCACUGCACUCUAGCCUGGGUAACAGAAUGAGACCCUGUCUCAA
ensembl:misc_RNA Metazoa_SRP Metazoan signal recognition particle RNA